GCUCAAGUGGCGAAAUGGCAGACGCAGUUGACUCAAAAUCAACCGAGAAAUCAUAAGGGUUCGAGUCCCUUCUUGAGCA
rnacentral:tRNA from 1 species